rnacentral:rRNA from 1 species
GUCUACAGCCAUGCCACCUGUGCCCGAUCUCGUCUGAUCUCAGAAACUAAGCAAGGUCAGGCCUGGUUAGUACUUGGAUGGAAGACCACCUAGGAAGACCAGGUGCUGUAAGCU